ACCAUGGUGCCGGCUCAGGGUUCAAGACAGGGGAAGGGUCCAGUGGUAGCCCUUGAAGUCUGAGGAGAGAAGUGUCAAUCACGUAGCCCCGCCCCUACUAGCUCCGCCCACAGCUGUGUCCGGAAGCAGCAAGCGUGCCUGGGCAGAGACCCCCAGAGUGUAAAGAGGUCCUGGGACAGGCUUUGCACGUUCCACAAGAGUGUCUCGCUGUGUCGUCUAGACUGGAGUGCAGUGGUGUGAUCAUGGCUCAACUCCUAGGCUCAAGCGAUCCUCCUGCCUCAGCCUCCGGAGUAGCUGCUGGGACUGCAGGAACGUGCCACCAUGCCUGGCUCAAACACAAAGUUUUUUCAUAAAACUCACUUGGCGGCAAAAUUCUACCUUACCUGAAGUUAUUUACGGGG
rnacentral:lncRNA from 1 species